rnacentral:misc_RNA from 1 species
GCUUUCUCCACUCUAAAUGAUUUUAUAUUAAACACUCAGAAAUAUGUAAUGCUUCUAAGUCAUGUUGCACUAAGUUCUCCUCCGAGUCAAUUUAAGUCCACCUCUUCUUCACUUUUUUGCUCCGAUCCGUAUAUACAUGGCUUCAUAUGACCAAACCACCUUAAUUUGCCUCCUCUCAAUUUAUCCUUAAUUAACACAAUUCUUAUCUUUUCUCUAAUACUCUCGUUAUAAACUUUAUUUAAUCUAUGACGACUCACCCUCCUCCGCAACUCUUAUCUUGCGACUCUUACUUUAGAUACAUACAAUUACUUCGUUGGCCAACACCCACAAACAUGUGUAUACGAUUCAACUUAUUCAACUUAUUGAGAAUCUUUGGAUCACAUCUUAUAGCUAAGCUAACAUCUAAACUAAUUAUUUCAGCUCUUUUGAGUGUCUAUAUCAUUAUGGAUUCUUCUUCUUCAUAUUAUAUAACAUUUAGAAGUAUCAAGAAAAGCAGCAUUUCCCAUCUCAAACAAGAAUCUAAGAUUCAUUCAGAACCCAGAAACCAAAUCAAGCAAAACAAGAAAAUCGAACCACUGAAGCACAAAGAGCUCCAAU